AAUCCUACGGGGGGCAGCAGUGGGGAAUAUUGGACAAUGGGGGGAACCCUGAUCCAGCGACGCCGCGUGAGUGAAGAAGUAUUUCGGUAUGUAAAGCUCUAUCAGCAGGGAAGAAAGAAAUGACGGUACCUGACUAAGAAGCCCCGGCUAACUACGUGCCAGCAGCCGCGGUAAUACGUAGGGGGCGAGCGUUAUCCGGAUUCACUGGGUGUAAAGGGAGCGUAGACGGCCAAGCAAGCCAGGGGUGAAAGCCCGGGGCCCAACCCCGGGACUGCUCUUGGAACUGCGUGGCUGGAGUGCAGGAG
rnacentral:rRNA from 1 species